UGCGUAGGUGGUCUGAUAAGUCAGAAGUGAAAGGCUACGGCUUAACCGUAGUAAGCUUUUGAAACUGUUGGACUUGAGUGCAGGAGAGGAAAGUGGAAUUCCUAGUGUAGCGGUGAAAUGCGUAGAUAUUAGGAGGAACACCAGUGGCGAAGGCGACUUUCUGGACUGUAACUGACACUGAGGCACGAAAGACGUGGGGAGGCGAACA
rnacentral:rRNA from 1 species